GGGGGUAUAACUCAGUGGUAGAGUGCUGUGCUUAGCAUGCAUGAGGUCCUGGGUUCAAUCCCCACCACCUCCA
rnacentral:tRNA from 1 species